GGUUAAGCGAAUAAGCGUACACGGUGGAUGCCUAGGCAAUCAGAGGCGAUGAAGGACGUGCUAAUCUGCGAAAAGCGUCGGUAAGGUGAUAUGAACCGUUAUACCCGACGAUAUCCGAAUGGGGAAACCCAGUAUCCAAUGGAUACUAUCAUUAACUGAAUCCAUAGGUUAAUGAGGCGAACCGGGAGAACUGAAACAUCUCAGUACCCCGAGGAAAAGAAAUCAACCGAGAUUCCCCUAGUAGCGGCGAGCGAACGGGGAGCAGCCCAGAGUCUUAAUCAAUAGCAGUGUCAGGAGAACGGUCUGGAAAGUCCGGCAGUAAAGGGUGAUAGCCCCGUAUCUGAAGAUGCUGUUAUUGUGAACUCGACGAGUAGGGCGGGACACGUGUUAUCCUGUCUGAAUAUGGGGGGACCAUCCUCCAAGGCUAAAUACUCCUGAUUGACCGAUAGUGAACCAGUACCGUGAGGGAAAGGCGAAAAGAACCCCGGCGAGGGGAGUGAAAAAGAACCUGAAACCGUGUACGUACAAGCAGUAGGAGCCUCUUUAUGGGGUGACUGCGUACCUUUUGUAUAAUGGGUCAGCGACUUAUAUUCUGUAGCAAGGUUAACCGUAUAGGGGAGCCGUAGGGAAACCGAGUCUUAACUGGGCGAAUGAGUUGCAGGGUAUAGACCCGAAACCCGGUGAUCUAUCCAUGGGCAGGUUGAAGGUUGGGUAACACUAACUGGAGGACCGAACCGACUAAUGUUGAAAAAUUAGCGGAUGACUUGUGGAUGGGGGUGAAAGGCCAAUCAAACCGGGAGAUAGCUGGUUCUCCCCGAAAGCUAUUUAGGUAGCGCCUCGUGAACUCAUCUUCGGGGGUAGAGCACUGUUUCGACUAGGGGGUCAUCCCGACUUACCAACUCGAUGCAAACUGCGAAUACCGAAGAAUGUUAUCACGGGAGACACACGGCGGGUGCUAACGUCCGUCGUGAAGAGGGAAACAACCCAGACCGCCAGCUAAGGUCCCAAAGUCAUGGUUAAGUGGGAAACGAAGUGGGAAGGCUCAGACAGCCAGGAUGUUGGCUUAGAAGCAGCCAUCAUUUAAAGAAAGCGUAAUAGCUCACUGGUCGAGUCGGCCCGCGCGGAAGAUGUAACGGGGCUAAACCAUGCACCGAAGCUGCGGCAGCGACACAAAGUGUUGUUGGGUAGGGGAGCGUUCUGUAAGCCUGCGAAGGUGUACUGUGAGGUAUGCUGGAGGUAUCAGAAGUGCGAAUGCUGACAUAAGUAACGAUAAUGCGGGUGAAAAACCCGCACGCCGGAAGACCAAGGGUUCCUGUCCAACGUUAAUCGGGGCAGGGUGAGUCGACCCCUAAGGCGAGGCUGAAAAGCGUAGUCGAUGGGAAACGGGUUAAUAUUCCCGUACUGGUGGUAACUGCGAUGGGGGAACGGAGAAGGCUAGGUUGUCCGGGCGACGGUCGUCCCGGUUCAAGCAGGUAGGCAGAGUGAUUAGGCAAAUCCGGUCACUUAAUGCUGAGAUGUGAUGACGAACCACCAAGGUGGUGAAGCAAUUGAUGCCCCGCUUCCAGGAAAAGCCUCUAAGCUUCAGGUUACCAACAAUCGUACCCCAAACCGACACAGGUGGUCAGGUAGAGAAUACUCAGGCGCUUGAGAGAACUCGGGUGAAGGAACUAGGCAAAAUGGUGCCGUAACUUCGGGAGAAGGCACGCUGGCGGUAGGUAAAGUCCCUCGCGGACAGAGCUGAAGCCAGUCGAAGAUACCAGCUGGCUGCAACUGUUUAUUAAAAACACAGCACUGUGCAAACACGAAAGUGGACGUAUACGGUGUGACGCCUGCCCGGUGCUGGAAGGUUAAUUGAUGGGGUCAGCCGUAAGGCGAAGCUCCUGAUCGAAGCCCCAGUAAACGGCGGCCGUAACUAUAACGGUCCUAAGGUAGCGAAAUUCCUUGUCGGGUAAGUUCCGACCUGCACGAAUGGCGUAAUGAUGGCCAGGCUGUCUCCACCCGAGACUCAGUGAAAUUGAACUCGCUGUGAAGAUGCAGUGUACCCGCGGCAAGACGGAAAGACCCCGUGAACCUUUACUAUAGCUUGACACUGAACAUUGAGCCUUGAUGUGUAGGAUAGGUGGGAGGCUUUGAAGUGUGGACGCCAGUCUGCAUGGAGCCAACCUUGAAAUACCACCCUUUAACGUUUGAUGUUCUAACCUAGGCCCAUAAACUGGGUCGGGGACCGUGUCUGGUGGGUAGUUUGACUGGGGCGGUCUCCUCCUAAAGAGUAACGGAGGAGCACGAAGGUUGGCUAAGCAUGGUCGGACAUCAUGCGGUUAGUGCAAAGGCAUAAGCCAGCUUGACUGCGAGAGUGACGGCUCGAGCAGGUACGAAAGUAGGUCUUAGUGAUCCGGUGGUUCUGAAUGGAAGGGCCAUCGCUCAACGGAUAAAAGGUACUCCGGGGAUAACAGGCUGAUACCGCCCAAGAGUUCAUAUCGACGGCGGUGUUUGGCACCUCGAUGUCGGCUCAUCACAUCCUGGGGCUGAAGUAGGUCCCAAGGGUAUGGCUGUUCGCCAUUUAAAGUGGUACGCGAGCUGGGUUUAGAACGUCGUGAGACAGUUCGGUCCCUAUCUGCCGUGGGCGUUGGAAGAUUGAGAGGGGUUGCUCCUAGUACGAGAGGACCGGAGUGAACGCACCACUGGUGUUCGGGUUGUCAUGCCAAUGGCAUUGCCCGGUAGCUAAGUGCGGAAGAGAUAACCGCUGAAAGCAUCUAAGCGGGAAACUUGCCUCGAGAUGAGUCUUCCCUGUCACUUUAAGUGACCUAAAGGAACGUUUAAGACUAAGACGUUGAUAGGCUGGGUGUGUAAGCGUAGCGAUACGUUGAGCUAACCAGUACUAAUGAACCGUGAGGCUUAACCUG
rnacentral:rRNA from 1 species